rnacentral:rRNA from 1 species
AUUGAACGCUGGCGGCAGGCCUAACACAUGCAAGUCGAGCGGAUGAAGGGAGCUUGCUCCUGGAUUCAGCGGCGGACGGGUGAGUAAUGCCUAGGAAUCUGCCUGGUAGUGGGGGAUAACGUCCGGAAACGGGCGCUAAUACCGCAUACGUCCUGCGGGAGAAAGUGGGGGAUCUUCGGACCUCACGCUAUCAGAUGAGCCUAGGUCGGAUUAGCUAGGUGGUGGGGUAAAGGCCUACCAAGGCGACGAUCCGUAACUGGUCUGAGAGGAUGAUCAGUCACACUGGAACUGAGACACGGACCAGAGUCCUACGGGAGGCAGCAGUGGGGAAUAUUGGACAAUGGGCGAAAGCCUGAUACAGCCAGGCCGAGUGUGUGAAGAAGGUCUUCGGAGUGGAAAGCACUUUAAGUUGGGAGGAAGGGCAGUAAGUUAAUACCUUGCUGUUUUGACGUUACCAACAGAAUAAGCACCGGCUAACUUCGUG